rnacentral:rRNA from 1 species
AUUGAACGCUGGCGGCAUGCCUUACACAUGCAAGUCGAACGGUAACGGGCCUUCGGGUGCCGACGAGUGGCGAACGGGUGAGUAAUACAUCGGAACGUGCCCGAUCGUGGGGGAUAAAGGGUCGAAAGCUUGUCCAAAUCCGAAAACGGUCUACGUGCGAAAGGGGGGGGCCUCAAGGCCUCCGGCGGCUGGGGAGGCCGUUGGCGGCUUUGGUCGUUGUUGGGAUAAAAGCUUACAAAGCCGACGAUCUGUAGCUGGUCUGAGAGGAUGAUCAGCCACACUGGGACUGAGACACGGCCCAGACUCCUACGGGAGGCAGCAGUGGGGAAUGUUGGACAAUGGGCGCAAGCCUGAUCCAGCCAUGCCGCGUGCAGGAUGAAGGCCUUCGGGUUGUAAACUGCUUUUGUACGGAACGAAAAGCCUUCUUUUAAUACAGGGGGGUCAUGACGGUACCGUAAGAAUAAGCACCGGCUAACUACGUG